rnacentral:rRNA from 1 species
CUUGUUGGUGGGGUAAUGGCCUACCAAGGCGACGACGGGUAGCCGGCCUGAGAGGGCGACCGGCCACACUGGGACUGAGACACGGCCCAGACUCCUACGGGAGGCAGCAGUGGGGAAUAUUGCACAAUGGGCGAAAGCCUGAUGCAGCGACGCCGCGUGAGGGAUGACGGCCUUCGGGUUGUAAACCUCUUUCAGCAGGGAAGAAGCGCAAGUGACGGUACCUGCAGAAGAAGCACCGGCUAACUACGUGCCAGCAGCCGCGGUAAUACGUAGGGUGCGAGCGUUGUCCGGAAUUAUUGGGCGUAAAGAGCUCGUAGGCGGUCUGUCACGUCGGAUGUGAAAGCCCGGGGCUUAACCCCGGGUCUGCAUUCGAUACGGGCAGACUAGAGUGUGGUAGGGGAGAUCGGAAUUCCUGGUGUAGCGGUGAAAUGCGCAGAUAUCAGGAGGAACACCGGUGGCGAAGGCGGAUCUCUGGGCCAUUACUGACGCUGAGGAGCGAAAGCGUGGGGAGCGAACAGGAUUAGAUACCCUGGUAGUCCACGCCGUAAACGUUGGGAACUAGGUGUUGGCGACAUUCCACGUCGUCGGUGCCGCAGCUAACGCAUUAAGUUCCCCGCCUGGGGAGUACGGCCGCAAGGCUAAAACUCAAAGGAAUUGACG